GAAAAAUCAGAACAUCACAGGGUUGUAUAAGUUGAUCGUAGAAGUCCACUUUGCUGACCUUCUGCACUCCUAUUCUCUGAAGGUGAUUACUGGCUUGCCCCAUGAGCGGGCUUCGUGUGAUCUCAUGACAGAGGAGAGCUUUCUGGCGUGGCAUCCAGGACCCAGCCAAGCAGCAGAGGCAUGGCCAACGAUACAAAGAACAUCUGGUUUUCAAAUACAAAUCAUGCAGCCGAGACUCAGAUCAGCGAGCCCCAAACCUGUUUGUUUCCGGGCUGUUCUUUUGGCAAGACGUUUGCUGUGUUUGCUGAUGGAGAGGCUCCAAAUGCAGUUUAUAUUGGUAUAAAUUAAGAGUAGAGUAAAUUACUAGUGGGAAGGAUCACCUUUUCCAACUAAAAUCCAGGCUUCUAAAAACAAGCAUAAUUGGGAUUCACAUAAUUCGGGAACAUCAGAAUAGGCAUAAUAAGGGGUUGGCCCCAUGGCCGAGUGGUUAAGCUCACACGCUCAG